GCCGAAAGUGGAAAAAGGAACCAGCCUCUGUAGAGACAACAAUCUUCUAUUUUGAACAAUGAUUUCAAUCUACAUGACAAUGCCUGUCCUGGUUAUAGCAACAUUGACAACAGGACUUAUGAGAUGCAAUUUAUCUCAAAAUGAUAAAAACCCUCAAUGUUAUGGAGCCCUUGGAGAACCCCUGUUUUUUUACUUUCCAAUUGUUUCAAGGAUUGAUCUGAAAAAAGCUAAUUAUGUG